UACGUAGGGGGGCAAGCGUUGUCCGGAAUUAUUGGGCGUAAAGAGCGCGUAGGCGGUCCGAUAAGUCGGCUGUGAAAGUCUAGGGCUCAACCCUGGAAAGCCGGCCGAUACUGUCGGACUAGAGUCCGGAAGAGGCAAGUGGAAUUCCCGGUGUAGCGGUGAAAUGCGCAGAUAUCGGGAGGAACACCGGUGGCGAAGGCGGUUCUCUGGGCCUGUACUGACGCUGAGGAGCGAAAGCGUGGGGAGCGAACAGG
rnacentral:rRNA from 1 species